UACGUAGGGGGCAAGCGUUGUCCGGAAUCAUUGGGCGUAAAGAGCGUGUAGGCGGUCCGGUAAGUCCGCUGUGAAAGUCCAGGGCUCAACCGGGGAGGGUCGUCGGGGACUGGUGGACUUGAGGGCGGCAGGGGCUGGAGGAAUCCCCGGUGUAGUGGUGAAAUGCGUAGAGAUCCGGAAGAACACCGGAGGCGAAGGCGGCUCGCUGGGCCUGAUCUGACGCUGAGGCGCGAAGGCGUGGGGAGCGAACAGG
rnacentral:rRNA from 1 species